rnacentral:rRNA from 1 species
AUACGGAGGGUGCAAGCGUUAAUCGGAAUUACUGGGCGUAAAGCGCACGCAGGCGGUUUGUUAAGUCAGAUGUGAAAGCCCCGGGCUCAACCUGGGAACUGCAUUUGAUACUGGCAGACUAGAGUAUAGGAGAGAGAAGUGGAAUUCCACAUGUAGCGGUGAAAUGCGUAGAGAUGUGGAGGAACAUCAGUGGCGAAGGCGACUUCUUGGCCUAAUACUGACGCUCAGGUGCGAAAGCGUGGGGAGCAAACAGGAGUAGAAACCCGAGUAGUCC